rnacentral:rRNA from 1 species
GUCGAGAAUCAUUCACAAUGGGGGAAACCCUGAUGGUGUGACGCCGCGUGGAGGAUGAAGGUCUUCGGAUUGUAAACUCCUGUCAUGUGGGAGUAAAGCCGGGUGUUAAAUGCAUGCCGGUCUGAGAGUACCACAAGAGGAAGGGACGGCUAACUCUGUGCCAGCAGCCGCGGUAAUACAGAGGUCCCAAGCGUUGUUCGGAAUCACUGGGCGUAAAGGGUGCGUAGGCGGCGCGGAAAGUCAGGGGUGAAAUCCCGGAGCUCAACUCCGGAACUGCCUUUGAUACUCCCGCGCUUGAGAACUGGAGGGGAGACCGGAAUUCACGGUGGAGCAGUGAAAUGCGUGGAUAUCGUGAGGAACACUAGUGGCGAAGGCGGGUCUCUGGACAGUAUCUGACGCUGAGGCACGAAGGCCAGGGGAGCGAACGGGAUUAGAAACCCUAGUAGUCC